rnacentral:rRNA from 1 species
GACAGAGGCCUCAAGCGUUAGGCGGAAUCACUGGGCUUAAAGCGUGUGUAGGCGGAUGCCUAAGUACCUUGUGAAAUCCCACGGCUCAACCGUGGAACUGCUGGGUAUACUGGGCGUCUUGGGCCAUUCAGGGGCGACUGGAACAAGCGGUGGAGCGGUGAAAUGCGCAGAUAUCAGGAGGAACACCAAUUGCGAAGGCAGCUCGCUGGGACGUUACUGACGCUGAGACGCGAAAGCGUGGGGAGCAAACAGG